AGUGCCCUAAGACACUUGACCAAAACACAGUGUGGGUCGGCCAUGUGACAACCAUGCUGCCUCAGAGCAUGUGAGGGAGACAAGACUUCCCACUGGGAAACUGAGGAACAAGGCAGCAGGGUACCAUUCUACAAGGAAAGGUGAUGUUCAUUCAGAGGAUCCAGAAUGGGAGGCAUCAGAAAUGCCAGAUCAGCUGGGAAUGGCACCGCCCACUGUGGGCUGGGCCCUCCGCAUCAAUCAGCACUCUAGACAAUGCCCCCCCCCCCAAAGACACGCCCACAGGACAAUCUGACUGAGGCAAUUCUUCAUUUGAGGUUCCCUCUUCCCAGUAUCCUGGAUGAACCCAAACUAUCAAGUAAACAAUCCAAGGCUUUGGACCAAAAGUGACUGAGCAAGUCAAUCAUUUCUUCCCUCAAGCUCUGGCAUCUUAUCCACACUUUAUAGAGAUAGACCAUUUGGAUAUAAACUGAACAUUCCUCAAAGGUGUGUCUGGAAGCAGAUGGAAUGCAUAUCAGGGUCUAUAGAGAGGAUGCUGGGUUCCUGGAAGGGAAUACUGCUCUCCUGAAGUGACCAUCAAGAGGAGUACCUCUUGAUAAGCUGGUUCCAGACAAGUGAUUGGACAUCACUGGCUCUGUGGCAUGCUACAGCCAACACAUAAUGCUACUGUAAUCUGUACACUACCAUGCUACAGCCAGCAGAUAAUGCAACUGUGAUCUGCUACACUACCAUGCUACAGCCAACAGAUAAUGUAACUGUGAUCUACUAUACUACCAUGCUAUAGCCAACAGGUAAUGCAACUGUGAUCUGCUACACUACCAUGCCACAGCCAACAGACAAUCCAACUGUGAUCUGUACACUACCAUGCUGCUGAGAUGGUACAUGAAACAGAAGAAAGACGAAAGGCAGAUAUUGUGGCAACUGGCAGGAUCCCACUGCAGGGAGGAAAAAUACAAGUGUUAAUCAGAAGUAAAUGUCAAAGAUUAGU